UCGAGCGAGUCUGCCUUGAAGAUCGGAGUGCUUGCACUCUGUGAAACAAGAUACAGGCUAGCGGCGGACGGGUGAGUAACACGUGGGUAACCUGCCCAAGAGAUCGGGAUAACACCUGGAAACAGAUGCUAAUACCGGAUAAUAACAGAUGAUGCCUAUCAACUGUUUAAAAGAUGGUUCUGCUAUCACUCUUGGAUGGACCUGCGGUGCAUUAGCUAGUUGGUAGGGUAACGGCCUACCAAGGCGAUGAUGCAUAGCCGAGUUGAGAGACUGAUCGGCCACAUUGGGACUGAGACACGGCCCAAACUCCUACGGGAGGCAGCAGUAGGGAAUCUUCCACAAUGGACGCAAGUCUGAUGGAGCAACGCCGCGUGAGUGAAGAAGGGUUUCGGCUCGUAAAGCUCUGUUGUUGGUGAAGAAGGACAGGGGUAGUAACUGACCUUUGUUUGACGGUAAUCAAUUAGAAAGUCACGGCUAACUACGUGCCAGCAGCCGCGGUAAUACGUAGGUGGCAAGCGUUGUCCGGAUUUAUUGGGCGUAAAGCGAGUGCAGGCGGUUCGAUAAGUCUGAUGUGAAAGCCUUCGGCUCAACCGGAGAAUUGCAUCAGAAACUGUCGAGCUUGAGUACAGAAGAGGAGAGUGGAACUCCAUGUGUAGCGGUGAAAUGCGUAGAUAUAUGGAAGAACACCGGUGGCGAAGGCGGCUCUCUGGUCUGUUACUGACGCUGAGGCUCGAAAGCAUGGGUAGCGAACAGGAUUAGAUACCCUGGUAGUCCAUGCCGUAAACGAUGAGUGCUAAGUGUUGGGAGGUUUCCGCCUCUCAGUGCUGCAG
rnacentral:rRNA from 1 species